UGGGGUAUCGCCAAGCGGUAAGGCACCUGGUUUUGGUCCAGGCAUUCCGAGGUUCGAAUCCUUGUACCCCAGCCA
rnacentral:tRNA from 14 species